rnacentral:snRNA from 1 species
UCAUCAGUUUAAUAUCUGACAUGCCCUCUAUCCAAGGACAAUAUAUUAAAUGGAUUUUUGGAACAGGGAGAUGGACUAGGAGCUUGCUCUGUCCACUCCACACAUCACCUUGUUAUUGUGGUACUUACAGAAUGGUGC